rnacentral:rRNA from 1 species
GACGAACCGUGCGAACGUUAUUCGGAAUCACUGGGCUUAAAGCGCGCGUAGGCGGCGUCGUAAGUCAGGGGUGAAAUCCCAACGGCUCAACCGUGGAAUUGCCUUUGAUACUGCGAUGCUCGAGGGAGGUAGGGGCAAGUGGAACUUCCAGUGGAGCGGUGAAAUGUGUUGAGAUUGGAAGGAACGCCGGUGGCGAAAGCGACUUGCUGGAUCUCUUCUGACGCUGAGGCGCGAAAGCUAGGGUAGCGAACGGG